rnacentral:lncRNA from 1 species
GUAGAAACUAAACAAGAGUAGGCAAAUAACAAUAUACACAGGCGGAAGCAAACCAAAACAUAAAUACAAAUAAAGAUCCCUCCCAGAACCUGGAAGUCACUAGUACAGAGCUACUAACAAAAUGAGUACAAGUCCCAAAAGUGGACAACAGAGACUGGACUGUCUCGAAAGGUAAAAGACAAGUUUAUAUAUACAGAUGGAGACUGAAAUAGUACAAAACGUCGUGUGCUCACUCCCGUCUCCGGAUCAGUCUGCUCCAAGCUCGAUCAACGCUGGCUACUAGUGCCCGGACCUGCAUCACGAAAUAGAUGCAGAGCGUAGC